UGGGGAAUAUUGGGCAAUGGACGCAAGUCUGACCCAGCAACGCCGCGUGAAGGAAGAAGGCUUUCGGGUUGUAAACUUCUUUUGUCAGGGAACAGUAGAAGAGGGUACCUGACGAAUAAGCCACGGCUAACUACGUGCCAGCAGCCGCGGUAAUACGUAGGUGGCAAGCGUUGUCCGGAUUUACUGGGUGUAAAGGGCGUGCAGCCGGGCUGGCAAGUCAGGCGUGAAAUCCCAGGGCUCAACCCUGGAACUGCGUUUGAAACUGCUGGUCUUGAGUACCGGAGAGGUCAUCGGAAUUCCUUGUGUAGCGGUGAAAUGCGUAGAUAUAAGGAAGAACACCAGUGGCGAAGGCGGAUGACUGGACGGCAACUGACGGUGAGGCGCGAAAGCGUGGGGAGCAAACA
rnacentral:rRNA from 1 species